rnacentral:rRNA from 1 species
UACGUAGGGGGCAAGCGUUGUCCGGAAUAAUUGGGCGUAAAGAGCGCGUAGGCGGUCCGGUAAGUCCGCUCUGAAAGUCCGGGGCUCAACCCCGGGAGGCGGGCGGAUACUGUCGGGCUAGAGUCCGGAAGAGGCGAGUGGAAUUCCUGGUGUAGCGGUGAAAUGCGCAGAUAUCAGGAGGAACACCAAUGGCGAAGGCAGCUCGCUGGGACGGUACUGACGCUGAGGCGCGAAAGCGUGGGGAGCAAACAGG